rnacentral:lncRNA from 1 species
CGGCUCGCAACCAUGGAACCCCACCUUGGUGCAUGGAUCAUUGAAGUGCCAUGGAAGAGCAUCUCCUUGAAAUGGUAAAGAAACAUGACUUUGUUUUUCGUACAAUCCAGAUAGAGCACACAAGGCUGAGAAUCCAAUUCCGGCAUAACAGAGAGGGAAUGUAAUUUAAUUAAGUCGGGAGAGGUGAGCAAUUCGUUCCAUGAUUCGAUACGCUUUUGAGACGCAAGAGAUGCUUCAAUGGGAAGCACAAAAGGAUCUUCUCGACGAGUUCGUCGGGGAGGAUGCUCGACAAAGACCCCAUUGCGCAAAAAGGAGAUGCAGGAAAAGAAUGCCUGUGUUUUGCCUUCUACCUUGAAUGCCUGUGUUGCCUCUGAUAAGGCACUGGAAACCUGAAAAGAAACAGAAGAAGAGGAGAGAAACCUGAAAGGAAACAGAAGAAAAUGAAGAUAGCUGAACAGAGGAAGUCUAUAGUAAUGGCAGAACUGGUUAAGAUUCUAUCCUAUAAAACCUCCCUCUCUUGUUUUAUGUAACAAUGGAAGGCUAGGCUCCAUAUAAACUUUUCCCAAACUUUAUUAGGAAAUAAAAAUCUUUGAAAGAUAUAUGAUAACUUCUACUUAAUCUGGAUAGGCUAAAGGG